rnacentral:lncRNA from 1 species
UCCCCAAGCCCCCAUGUAACGUCCCCAAGUCCCCAUGUGAUGUCCCCAAGCACCCACAAAAUAUCCCAAAGAACCCCCCCAACAUCCCCAAGCCCCCCCCACAACGUCCCCAAGUCCCCCCCCAAACGUCCCCGCGCCCCCACCUGGCGAGCAGCAGGCGCAGGACGUCGUGGGGCUGGGUGAAGGCACGGAAGGUGGCGAGGAAGGUGGGGACGAAGGCUCCGUCCCCGCGGGCGGGGGCCUCCAGCAGGUGCCGCACCAGGCGGGGCAGGGGGGCGGCGCGCAGCAGGCGGGCGGGGGGCGCCCCGGGCCGGGGGGCCAGGGUGAAGACGGCGUCGUCCUCGCGCACCUCCGCCUGGGGGGGGUCCUCGUCGGGGGGGCAGGGCCGGUAGGAGCUGAGCACCACCCCCGGCUCCUGGCCCAGGGGGGGCCGGGCCCCCUCCAGCAGCGCCCGCAGCGCCCGCGGGAGCAUGGGGCGCCCCACGGCUCCGACCCACGGCUCCGACCCACGGCGUGGUCAGCCCCACGGCACGGGCAUGGCGGGGGGGGGGGGCCUGGGCGAGAGGGGGGGCCCUCAGCACCCACUGGCUGCCCCACAGCAUCCCAGUGGUGCUCCCAGUGCUCCCAGUGCUGCCCCACAGCAUCCCAGUGGUGCUCCCAGUGCUGUCCCAAAGCAUCCCAGUGCUCCCAGUGCUGCCCCACAGCAUCCCAGUGGUGCUCCCAGUGCUGUCCCAUAGCAUCCCAGUGCUCCCAGUGCUGCCCCGCAGCAUCCCAGUGCUGCCCCCCAGUGCUCCCAGUGCCUCCCUGCAGCUCCCUCUCGAGCCUCCACCCCCGGUCCCUGCGCCCAGUACCCCCAGUACCCCCAGUCCCGUACUCCCAGUCCCAGCCCCCCGUGCUCCCCCAGUCCCUGCUCCCAGUAACCCCGUCCCUCACCCCCAGUGCUCCCAGUACCUCCCAGUGCCUGCUUCCAGUCUCCCCAUUCCUCUUCCCAGCAACACCGCUUCCUGUUCCCAGCGCUCCCAGUCCCCGCUCCCAGUCCCCGUCCCCUCAGCCCCCUGCUCCCAGUGCUCCCAGUUCUCCCAGUCCAAGCU